rnacentral:misc_RNA from 1 species
CUCAUGUAUGCCAAGCGUGCCUUUGUGCACUGGUAUGUUGGUGAGGGCAUGGAAGAAGGAGAGUUCUCUGAGGCUCGUGAGGAUCUUGCUGCUCUGGAGAAGGAUUAUGAGGAGGUUGGUGCCGAAUCUGCUGAAGGGGAUGACGGUGACGAAGGAGAUGAGUAUUGAUUGAGGGUUUUCUGUGAUUAUAUGGCUAUUUCUGUUAUUAUGGUUUGUUUUUGAGCCAGAUUGCAAAUGAAAGAAAUCACCAACAAUUUAAA